rnacentral:lncRNA from 1 species
CCUGUGCAGGUGGUGGUGCCCUCUGCGCCUUCACUGGGGCCCAGCCAAGUAACUGAAUCCAGCCAGGAGCAAGGGCAGACGCUGGCACAGGUCCUGCCACUGUCCCCAACCUGGGUUUCAACACAGCUGAGGCCUGGCAUAGUCUUUCUGGGCGCCUCUGGCUGGCUCGGUCUGAAAGGCGCGGCCAGGUCACAGUCGGCACCAGAAGUUUGGCAGAUCUCAGUGAGGCGUUAGUUUGCAUUUCCUUGUGACGGGUUUUGACUGGAAUGCCAGGCUUAACGUUGCUCAGAAGUUGCUUCUAUGAGGACGUCUCCCAGCAGCUGUCAGUGUUUCCAAUGAGUCAUCGCCAGCCCCUGCAAUGAGCCUCUCAGGCUGGUAAGUUUUGUUUCAGAACCGCUUCCUCAAGCUUCUUUUGCCUUUAAAAGCUUCCUCUUGCCCCAGCCUCCCAGGGAAUGCCUGUGGUCUGUCAUGGCUCACACAUCCUGGUUGAUAAUCCACUGCUGUUCUCCACGGAAUGCCUUCAUUUUGAGAGCUGCUCGCUGCCUGUUGUGGUUUCAGUUGACGGCCCACCGCUGUGUGCAGAGUUCACCAGCCGCUGUGGUGUGCAGUGCAGCAGCUGACCUGCCUGCCUUGUGGUUUUCUAAUCCCAUUGAGGGGACGUCUUAGGUGUUCUCACCAAGAAUGCACAGCAACAGUGCUGGGUGGGCCACAUCCUCCCUCACGUUUGGUGCCACCAGUUUUAUAGAUUUUGGCUACUGUGGGUGUGUGUGGUGGUUUUUGUUGGUGUUUACGACGCAUCUUCCUGGUGCUCGAGUCUGUCGAGCACUUUUUCUUGUGUUUAUUUGCCAUCAUUUGGCGAAGUGUUCAAAUCCUUUGACCGUUGUUUCACCAAGUUGUUUUAUUAUGAAAUUUUAGGGGUUACUUAUUCUGGAUCUCAGCACUUGGAUAAAUAUUUGAGAAUAUUUUUUGCAGUAAGUGACAUCGUUUUAUGUGGAUGAACAGAAGAUUUUAAUUUUGAUAAAGUCUAAUGGAUAUAUGUGAUGUUAGUGUAAUUUGAAUGCAUACAUAUGUAUAUUUAAUGCAUUCUUUUAUGAUGAUUGUGCACUUCAUAUGAAAUGCGGCAACCUUGCCUUGCCAUCCCGGAGGCCUCUGCUUCUCUGAUCUGUGGGUGUCACAGGCACUUCACUUACUCACACCUUAUGGCACGGUUUCUUUUGCUCUAAGCCUGCACGUGUGUUUUAAAGGUAAUUUCUUCCGUUAGAGAAGUCGCGUAGGCUCACCCUGCUAUUUGCCAUUUCUGGAGCUCUUUAUCUCCUUCUUCAUAUCUGCAUUUCCCUCUGGAAUCAUUUCCAUUCAGCCUGAAGAACUCUUCUGCCUGGGACUCCACCUUCUUUUCUAGCAGCUGGGCUCAUUGGGAGCUCUGUCCUCUGGUGGCUCUGGCCAGGGGACGCUGGGUUUUCUCUUAGGGUUUCAGUUGGCCCGUGUGGUGCCAAUGUCAACGUGUCUGUAGGCCAGAGCCAGCAAUGAGCACCCCCUCGGUCUGGCCCUGAGCUCCAAGGCCCCACUCCCACGGGAUCUUGCUGCCAGGACCCCACUCUCUGCAUCUUGUCCAGAGUGUCGAGGAGGGCAGGGUCCAGCGGGAUCUCUCGGCCCUCCCAGGGCUGAGUCUGUGCUCUGACCUUUCCUGGGAGGCACUCAGGGCCAACAGAGCAACAAGGGGCCUUUCCCUGUGGCUCCCUCCCCUCUGGAGAAAAUGGGUCAGACCUGGGUUUCUCCAUAGUCACUGUCCCUAAAAUGAAGCCGGGCUGCCAGAGGCGGUUGCAUCUCCCGGCACCAAGACCCCAGAGUCCCUGUGAGAAAGAGGACCAACGACGAUGGAAGCCUUUCUCUAAUGUGCGCACAGCCAGGCCGCUCCUCUGAAGGCGCUGAGCCGCCUCUAAUCACAGCGCCACACUGGCCACAGGUCGCUGGGUAUAGGAUGAACCCAGCUGUGAAUAGGAUGCAUUUCCUGGGAGGUUUCUGUGAAGUUACUGAACUGCCAAAAGGUAAGCAGUUUUAAUUGAUUUGUGAGUCUUCAAUUAAGCACAGCAGAAUGCUAAUUAAAUAUUCUCUGUUCUUUAAAUAGAGAAUGCUUUAAAUAAUUCAGCACAAUCUUUGCAUAAAUCACACCAUUCAGCUGAGGUGCCUGUCAGCAGUCAAGUGAUUGAGAGCACAAACUGUCCCAAAGACACAGCCCCCUUCCCCCUGGAGACGCGCACAGCCUGCAGAAGAGAUGUCACCUGAUGCAGCGUUGUGGUUUAAAAACUCAUUAUGGGAAGCAUGAGGCUGGACCCAGGGGACCCUGGAGGUGAUGCAGGGGCUUUGGCAGCCUGGAAGCUGUUGGAGGAGGGGCCCUUGGUGGAAGUGGGGACAGUUUGAGCCUCCGGCCUCCAAUUCCCUCCCGCUGGCUUCUGGGCCGCACCUCCAGGAAUCCAGCUAGACCCGCAGGGCUCUGACUCCAGACUUUAUUAAAUGUUUCCUCUAACGGUUCUGGCCAUUCUGCUGGGCCAUUAAAGGCUACCCCAGGGCCUCAGAUAUGAGCGUGGUGUCUGUAUGUGGUCCUUUCAUGGAGGGCAGGAAGCAUCAUAAUUACUUUUUUUUUUAACGGUUUUCAAUUUGUGUUGACAAAGAGCCUUAGUGAAUCUGUUGGAAGAAGAGUGACUUCAAAAUGAACCUGACUCCCUGUAUGUUAGGAGUCCAUAUUCUCUGAUACAGUUAACGUUUUCCUUCCAACCUCUUCACUGUUCAAGCAAAGUGGUAUUUUAGCUAUUCACUGUUUGACACUUUAAUAGGAGUUUUGAUGAGCAAUUUCAGGAUGUGGAAUUGCUACACUGCACCAGGUUCCUGCAGGAGCAGCAGCCUCAGCCUGUGGAUGGGACGUGAGAUCUUGGUGUUUCUCCUGGAGGAAACGCUGUGCUGCUGUGUUGAUGACGGGGCGUGUGUGGGGUUGAUGAUGGGUGAUGGAGUGUGGGGUUGGUGACAGGUGACGGAGUGUGGGGUUGAUGACGGGGCGUGGGGUUGAUGAUGGAGUGUGGGGAUGAUGACGGGUGACCGAGU